rnacentral:tRNA from 1 species
GUGGGUAUAGCUCAGUGGUAGAGUUCAUGCUUAGCAUGUACGAAGUCCUGGGUUCAAUCUCCAGUAUCUCUG